GUACUCACUUGAGCAGCAUAUAUAGUAAAACCGAAUAAUACAAAGAUUAGCAGGGCUCCUGUGUGAGGAGGACAAGGAAAUUUGUGAAGCAUUCAAUAUUUUU
ensembl:snRNA U6 U6 spliceosomal RNA